rnacentral:rRNA from 1 species
AGAGUUUGAUCCUGGCUCAGAGCGAACGCUGGCGGCAGGCUUAACACAUGCAAGUCGAGCGGGCGUAGCAAUACGUCAGCGGCAGACGGGUGAGUAACGCGUGGGAACAUACCUUUUGGUUCGGAACAACACAGGGAAACUUGUGCUAAUACCGGAUAAGCCCUUACGGGGAAAGAUUUAUCGCCGAAAGAUUGGCCCGCGUCUGAUUAGCUAGUUGGUGAGGUAACGGCUCACCAAGGCGACGAUCAGUAGCUGGUCUGAGAGGAUGAUCAGCCACAUUGGGACUGAGACACGGCCCAAACUCCUACGGGAGGCAGCAGUGGGGAAUAUUGGACAAUGGGCGAAAGCCUGAUCCAGCCAUGCCGCGUGAGUGAUGAAGGCCCUAGGGUUGUAAAGCUCUUUUGUGCGGGAAGAUAAUGACGGUACCGCAAGAAUAAGCCCCGGCUAACUUCGUGCCAGCAGCCGCGGUAAUACGAAGGGGGCUAGCGUUGCUCGGAAUCACUGGGCGUAAAGGGUGCGUAGGCGGGUCUUUAAGUCAGGGGUGAAAUCCUGGAGCUCAACUCCAGAACUGCCUUUGAUACUGAGGAUCUUGAGUACGGGAGAGGUGAGUGGAACUGCGAGUGUAGAGGUGAAAUUCGUAGAUAUUCGCAAGAACACCAGUGGCGAAGGCGGCUCACUGGCCCGUAACUGACGCUGAGGCACGAAAGCGUGGGGAGCAAACAGGAUUAGAUACCCCAGUAGUCC